UGGGGUGUAGCUCAGUGGUAGAGCAUGUGCCUAACAGCCCUGUGGCCCUGGGUUCUACCCUAGCACUGCAA
rnacentral:tRNA from 1 species